GGCGCGGGCGGCGGGGCUGCGCUCCGCGCCGGUGCCGUGGUCGCCGGCGGCCCGGCGGCGGGUCGGUGCCGCGGUCGCCGUGGUCGCGCUG
rnacentral:tRNA from 1 species